GGGUACCGUCAGGCCUAACGUGUAUUAUACGUUAGGAGGUUCUUCCCCUCUGACAGAGCUUUACGACCCAAGAGCCUUCAUCACUCACGCGGUAUUGCUGCGUCAGGCUUUCGCCCAUUGCGCAAAAUUCCCA
rnacentral:rRNA from 1 species